AUGAACGCUGGCGGCGUGCCUAAUACAUGCAAGUCGAGCGAACAGAUGAGGAGCUUGCUCCUCUGACGUUAGCGGCGGACGGGUGAGUAACCCGUGGAUAACCUACCUAUAAGACUGGGAUAACUUCGGGAAACCGGAGCUAAUACCGGAUAAUAUAUUGAACCGCAUGGUUCAAUAGUGAAAGACGGUUUUGCUGUCACUUAUAGAUGGAUCCGCGCCGCAUUAGCUAGUUGGUAAGGUAACGGCUUACCAAGGCAACGAUGCGUAGCCGACCUGAGAGGGUGAUCGGCCACACGGGAACUGAGACACGGUCCAGACUCCUACGGGAGGCAGCAGUAGGGAAUCUUCCGCAAUGGGCGAAAGCCUGACGGAGCAACGCCGCGUGAGUGAUGAAGGUCUUCGGAUCGUAAAACUCUGUUAUUAGGGAAGAACAAAUGUGUAAGGAACUAUGCACGUCUUGACGGUACCUAAUCAGAAAGCCACGGCUAACUACGUG
rnacentral:rRNA from 1 species